rnacentral:rRNA from 1 species
AUUGAACGCUGGCGGAAUGCUUUACACAUGCAAGUCGAACGGCAGCACGGGGCAACCUGGUGGCGAGUGGCGAACGGGUGAGUAAUAUAUCGGAACGUGCCCAAUCGUGGGGGAUAACGUAGCGAAAGUUACGCUAAUACCGCAUACGAUCUACGGAUGAAAGCGGGGGAUCGCAAGACCUCGCGCGAAUGGAGCGGCCGAUAUCAGAUUAGGUAGUUGGUGGGGUAAAGGCUCACCAAGCCAACGAUCUGUAGCUGGUCUGAGAGGACGACCAGCCACACUGGAACUGAGACACGGUCCAGACUCCUACGGGAGGCAGCAGUGGGGAAUUUUGGACAAUGGGCGCAAGCCUGAUCCAGCCAUUCCGCGUGCAGGAUGAAGGCCUUCGGUUGUAAACUGCUUUUGUACGGUAACGAAACGGUACUGCCCUAAUACGGCAGGCUAAUGACGGUACCGUAAGAAUAAGACACCGGCUAACUACGUGCCAGCAGCCGCGGUAAACUCG